UAUCUCUGUAGAGUCUGCAUAUCAAUAAGCGGAGGAAAAGAAACUAACAAGGAUUCCCUUAGUAACGGCGGGUGAAGCGGGAAGAGCUCAAAUUUGAAAUCUUCAAGGUUCUACCUUGACGAAUUGUAGUUUAAAGAAGUGUUUUCUGUUAGAUGAGUAGCAAAAGUUCCUUGGAAUGGGACAUCAUAGAGGGUGAGAAUCCCGUAUUUGGUUAUUCAUUCUAGCUUUGUGAUACACUUUCAAAGAGUCGGAUUGUUUGGGAAUGCAGUCCAAAAUGGGUGGUAAAUUUCAUCUAAAGCUAAAUAUUGGCGAGAGACCGAUAGCGAACAAGUACCGUGAGGGAAAGAUGAAAAGAACUUUGAAAAGAGAGUUAAACAGUACGUGAAAUUGUCAAGAGGGAAGCGUUUGACACCAGUGUUGUUUUUUCCGAAAAUCAAUUACGAAUGGCUUGAUUUUGUGUUGUAUUGACCUUAUCAGCUUUCUUCACUUUUUUCGAGUCUUUCUUAAUGCACUUUUCGGUUAACAAGUCAACAUCAAUUUCUUUUGUUGUAAAAGAGUAUUCGGAAGGUGGCUUUCUUUUCGGAGAAAGUGUUUAUAGCCCUAUACUUCUACAAUCGGAGAGAUUGAGGUCUGCAGCGUAGAUCCUUCGGGGUUAGAUACACUUUGUGCUAAGUUGUAGCUUUUCAUAGACAACUUGUUGACUAUGUUUAGUCAUGCGGCUUACUCGCUUAGUGCUAUUUUACCUACGCUUAGGAUGUUGACUGAUAUGUAGUCGUA
rnacentral:rRNA from 1 species